CGAACGAGAUGUCUCAAACUCUCUGUAUUAUUUUUGCAAUUUUAUUCUGCAGGUGGGUUAGUAAACACAUCAAGAAGCCAUUGAGAUCAACUGUUACCAGGUACUAAUUAAGUAGAUUUUACACAUUAAAUGAAAUGUCCAAUUCCUAUUAGGUACUGUACAUGAAAUUUGACUACAGUAUAACCUGACUGGAUUUUGCACCUCCCUAAAAAAGUCGUGCACCUCCCUAAAAAAAGUCAUGCACCCUUGGGAAAGGUCAUUUAGCCUUUCUCACGAAUGCCAAAAUUUCCCAUUUUUAAUUGGGGGUACUGUCUGCCCUCGUGAAAGAUUCCAGACAAUUCAAACAACGUGAAAAGCGACUUUUAAAAGUUGUAACUGUAAAUUUACCAUUAUACAAACAACUGCAAUUAUACUAAAGUUUUAAGUGCAGUAUUUCGUGGUGCGGAGACUCUGAACGUGGGAGAGGCAGUACCCUAAAAAUGGCAGGAAAAUCGGCCAUGAGAAAGGCUAAUUGAUACUGUAAAUCAAGUGAAAAUUUGACUCAAACUUGACAGUUAAUUUUCAUGUUUAUUGAAUUUGUAUGUGUUGCUUAGGGUGUACACUUGAAAAAGUGAUAGCCAUUCAUCUCCGUGUCAAGUACUCUUUAAUGCAAUGUUUUGAAGGAAAUCUUGUGCUAAUGUAAUGAAGGGAAAAAUUUGAUGACUCGUACAGUAAUAAUUCAUAAAUACAUUGAUAUAUUUGUACAAUACGUAAUUCAUGUAGACUAGAAAUCCAGCUAUGACUAUAACUACAGUAUAGAUAGAAAACUGUAACACCAUCUUUGCUGCUUAGAAGGUAAUUACUGUAAGUGAUUGUUAUACUCAGUCUGUAAUAAUUUCUUUCUUUCUGUAGUAUUGAUUGGCAUCCCAGUAACCUUCUACUGGCUGCAGGUUCAACUGACUUCAAGGCCAGGUUUGUUUUGAUUUAUGGACUUUUUGUUUGUGCCAUAAAAAUACA
rnacentral:lncRNA from 1 species